CUAAUGAUUUAUGGUCAUCAUUUGCUCCUGUGUCUGCCUUCCUUAGAUCCGUUCCAAAGGUCCAACAAUUUGUGGAAGAAGUGGUCCCACAGUACAGUCCUUCAGACUUCAAAAGUCAUUUCCGAUUGUCCAGGGGACAUGUGGAAGAUGUGAUGACGACUAUUGGCCCGUUCUACUGGAACAGACAGCACAGUGUUCUGACCGGCUGGAGGGGGAUGCCAGGUGAGGAGUGCCAGCUUGGGAUCUAGCAGGCCUUACAGGAGCAGGCCUUACAGGAGCAGGCCUUUCAUCAGGAGCAGGCCUUUCGUCAGGAGCAGGUCUUUCAUCAGGA